UUGCCUGCAGAAGGCAAUUACGGAUGCCAGGCAUUUCGGAAACACUCUGGGCGCAGUAGAUAAGCCAAAGGGCAAUGCAGAGAAUUGGUAAUGGGUUGAACCUGCAAGAAAUCUGAGGUAUCUUCUGCAAUCUUGUCUGAUAGGGACAUGCAGGUAUGC